rnacentral:rRNA from 1 species
GAAUUUUAUAUGAGUUUAAUAUUAUAUUUAGUAGGAGAUUAAUUAUUAAGUUUAUAUUUUAUUGGGAGGAUAGUUAAAUUAAAUAAACUUUAAAAAUAAAAAUCCAUUAAUUUAUGAAUUAAGCAUUAUAGAGUGAUAAAAAAUUUUAAAUAGAAUUAAUUACCUUAGGGAUAACAGCGUUAUAUUUUUAGAGAGAUCUUAUUGAUAAAAAUGAUUGC